UACGUAGGGCGCAAGCGUUGUCCGGAAUUAUUGGGCGUAAAGAGCUCGUAGGUGGCUUGUCGCGUCUGCCGUGAAAGCCCGUGGCUUAACUACGGGUCUGCGGUGGAUACGGGCAGGCUAGAGGCUGGUAGGGGCAAGCGGAAUUCCUGGUGUAGCGGUGAAAUGCGCAGAUAUCAGGAGGAACACCGGUGGCGAAGGCGGCUUGCUGGGCCAGUUCUGACGCUGAGACACGAAAGCCAGGGGAGCGAACGGG
rnacentral:rRNA from 1 species